ACACGCAUGACACACUGCAUAUCAAUAAGCGGAGGAAAAGAAACUAACAAGGAUUCCCUUAGUAACGGCGAGUGAAGCGGGAAGAGCUCAAAUUUGAAAUCUUCAAGGUUCUACCUUGACGAAUUGUAGUUUAUAGAAGUGUUUUCUGUUAGUAGAGUGGCAAAAGUUCUUUGGAAUAGGACAUCAUAGAGGGUGAGAAUCCCGUAUUUGGUCAUUCCUUCUAGCGUUGUGAUACACUUUCAACGAGUCGGAUUGUUUGGGAAUGCAGUCCAAAAUGGGUGGUAAAUUUCAUCUAAAGCUAAAUAUUGGCGAGAGACCGAUAGCGAACAAGUACCGUGAGGGAAAGAUGAAAAGAACUUUGAAAAGAGAGUUAAACAGUACGUGAAAUUGUCAAAAGGGAAGCGUUUGACACCAGUGUUGUUUUUCCGAAAAUCAAUUACGAAUGUUUUGUUUUUGAGGAGUUAUGACUUCAUCGGCUUGCUCCUUUCUUUACGAAACUUUCUUAAUGCACUUUUCGGUUAACAAGUCAACAUCAAUUUCUUUUGUUGUAAAAGGGUAUGAGGAAGGUGGCUUUCCUUUCGGAGAAAGUGUUUAUAGCCUUGUGCCUCUGCAAUCGGAGAGAUUGAGGUCUGCAGCGUAGAUCCUUCGGGGUUAGAUACGUUUGUGCUAAGUUAUAGCUUUUCAUAGACAACUUGUUGACUAUGUUUAGUCUUGUAGCUUACUCGCUGACGCUAUUUUACCUACGCUUAGGAUGUUGACUGAUAUGUAGUCGUA
rnacentral:rRNA from 1 species